rfam:Rattus norvegicus chromosome 5, whole genome shotgun sequence.
GGGGAUUUAGCUCAGUGGUAGAGUGCUUGCCUAGCGAGCGCAAGGCCCUGGGUUCAGUCCCCA